GUGAACCUGCGGAAGGAUCAUUACUGAACGAAAUGGGUGGCAAGGCUGUCGCUGGCUUAAAUGAGCAUGUGCACGUCUUUUUGUCGCUUACUUCAUUCUCNUCUUCCACCUGUGCACUCUUUGUAGACACUUGGGAUGUGAGAGAGGGGUUGGCAUUGAUUUGUCGGACUUCUCUUGAUAUUGAAAAUCUGGGUGUUUAUGUAUUUUUUGACAUACACGGUUGAAUGUCUAUAGAAUGAAAUUAUAGGCUCUUGUCAGCCUUUAAAUGAUAAAAUACAACUUUCAACAACGGAUCUCUUGGCUCUCGCAUCGAUGAAGAACGCAGCGAAAUGCGAUAAGUAAUGUGAAUUGCAGAAUUCAGUGAAUCAUCGAAUCUUUGAACGCAUCUUGCGCUCCUUGGUAUUCCGAGGAGCAUGCCUGUUUGAGUGUCAUUAAAUAUCUCAAAACUCUUGUGCUUUUGUUGGCAUAGGACUUUUGGACAUUGGGAGUUGCCGGCUGCUGGUAAAGUAGUGGGCUCUUCUGAAAAGCAUUAGUUGAGGAGCUUUGCACUCUUAUUGGUGUGAUAAACUAUCUAUGCCAAGAGAUGCUUCAUGAUCCUCUGCCGUCUAACUGUCUUUAUAAGACAAUAUGAUAAACUUGACCUC
rnacentral:rRNA from 1 species